rnacentral:rRNA from 1 species
ACGGGUGAGUAACGCGUGGGAACGUACCUUUUGGUUCGGGAUAACCCAGGGAAACUUGGGCUAAUACCGGAUAAGCCCUUACGGGGAAAGAUUUAUCGCCAAAAGAUCGGCCCGCGUCUGAUUAGCUAGUUGGUGAGGUAAUGGCUCACCAAGGCGACGAUCAGUAGCUGGUCUGAGAGGAUGAUCAGCCACAUUGGGACUGAGACACGGCCCAAACUCCUACGGGAGGCAGCAGUGGGGAAUAUUGGACAAUGGGCGCAAGCCUGAUCCAGCCAUGCCGCGUGAGUGAUGAAGGCCCUAGGGUUGUAAAGCUCUUUUGUGCGGGAAGAUAAUGACGGUACCGCAAGAAUAAGCCCCGGCUAACUUCGUGCCAGCAGCCGCGGUAAUACGAAGGGGGCUAGCGUUGCUCGGAAUCACUGGGCGUAAAGGGUGCGUAGGCGGAUCUUUAAGUCAGGGGUGAAAUCCUGGAGCUCAACUCCAGAACUGCCUUUGAUACUGAGGAUCUCGAGUUCGGGAGAGGUGAGUGGAACUGCGAGUGUAGAGGUGAAAUUCGUAGA